rnacentral:rRNA from 1 species
GAGUUUGAUCCUGGCUCAGAACGAACGCUGGCGGCAGGCUUAACACAUGCAAGUCGAACGCCCCGCAAGGGGAGUGGCAGACGGGUGAGUAACGCGUGGGAAUCUACCGUACCCUACGGAAUAACGCAUGGAAACGUGUGCUAAUACCGUAUACGCCCUUCGGGGGAAAGAUUUAUCGGGGUAUGAUGAGCCCGCGUUGGAUUAGCUAGUUGGUGGGGUAAAGGCCUACCAAGGCGACGAUCCAUAGCUGGUCUGAGAGGAUGAUCAGCCACAUUGGGACUGAGACACGGCCCAAACUCCUACGGGAGGCAGCAGUGGGGAAUAUUGGACAAUGGGCGCAAGCCUGAUCCAGCCAUGCCGCGUGAGUGAUGAAGGUCUUAGGAUUGUAAAGCUCUUUCACCGAUGAAGAUAAUGACGGUAGUCGGAGAAGAAGCCCCGGCUAACUUCGUGCCAGCAGCCGCGGUAAUACGAAGGGGGCUAGCGUUGUUCGGAAUUACUGGGCGUAAAGCGCACGUAGGCGGAUAUUUAAGUCAGGGGUGAAAUCCCGCAGCUCAACUGCGGAACUGCCUUUGAUACUGGGUAUCUCGAGUAUGGAAGAGGUGAGUGGAAUUCCGAGUGUAGAGGUGAAAUUCGUAGAUAUUCGGAGGAACACCAGAGGCGAAGGCGGCUCACUGGUCCAUUACUGACGCUGAGGUGCGAAAGCGUGGGGGAGCAGACAGGAUUAGAUACCCUGGUAGUCCACGCCGUAAACCAUGAAUGUUAGCCCCCGGGCAUCUUGCUGUUCGGUGGCGCAGCUACGCAUUAAACAUUCCGCCGGGGGAGACGGGUCG